rnacentral:lncRNA from 1 species
ACAAAAAAUCAAUCUUUAUACUGCUAUUUACACUUCAAACUAAUUUCACGAAUAUUAUUAUUUUAACCAAUGAUUAAAUGGAUGUGGUAUAUAUCAAUUUUCACUUCAAUCAAGAAUCACAUGAUUAACACAAAAAUACAUAGAACAAGGAGCCAAAGAAAUAGUUUCUGCACACACUUAAGAACUCACGAAAAACUAUAAAAACAAUAAAAAGAAAACUCAACCGUCGACUUCAAGGUAAAAGAAGCAAAAUCAAGAAGUGCGCCGACGAUGGACGCCGUGAUGUUCCUGUUAGUAAUUUUGUUCUUGUGGCAGAAUAAAAGCACCAAAAAUUGAGUCUGCAAGUUUGGAAAGAAGGAGAAGAACAAAACACUGACGGAAGAGUAAGAUUGGUGAUGGAUAUCCCUAGCCAAAUCCUGUGAUACGAACGAAAUCCCCAUUUUUCGGUGAAGAUAGAAAAUUUUCGAAAGAGAAGGGAGAUGAUCCGAAUUGCUGAAGGAAAGUAGAAGAAAAGGUUUGACGGCUGGAACAAGCCGAGCCGAUUCAGCGAAUUUAAGCAAUUAAUUUUGGAUUAUGAGUGUAAUACAAAACGAUGUAGUUUUAUGAAUGGGACAUGGGGUGGGACAGAGGAUCCGAAGUGAUAAAAUGGGACACCUUUUUCCAUUCACAUACAUUCCCCUAAUAUUUUUUAAAAUGCGUACCACCAAAAGUAUCACAUAUUUUUUAGAUACAAAAGAAGUACUCCGUCAGAUACAAAAGGAGUAUAUGAUUACCGGUUUGGGACUGACCUACAUAUUUGAGCUUCUAAAAAAAAUGGCCUUCACUAUUCGCUAGAUCAAAAGUUGGAUCAAACUGAUCCGUCAGAUCAUACUAUAUUUGGUAGUUCUUAUAUAUAAUAUGUANAAAGCAGCCGGACACGUGGCGAUCGCCGGCUCCUGCACAAAAUUUCCUCCUCUGGCGACGGUUUCCGCCAGGGUCGCCACUAACGCUGAAUACUCGGCGAGCUCCACGCGGGGGCCAAAAGAUCGCCGUGCUCUUCACCAUAUUUCUUCUUCGGGUGGCGGUCGCCGCAAAGGUCACUGGCGAUCUGCUACCCCUCUAUUUCUUCAACUUUUCGAGCUCAUUUCCUCGAUUCUCACACCCAGAACACUCGACACUUGGAUAUUCAUUAUCCAUAUUUAGAUUUCAAAACAUUCAAACCUAUAACAAAAUAGCUAAAAUCAUACCCAAACGUAAUAUCACAAAAGAAUAUGAAACUUAAAUCAAAUGAUAUCACAAUCAAGCAUAAUCCUAGCACUAUAAGUACUAAAAUACUCAUAAAAACAAUGCAAAAUGAGUGUUUAUCACACACCGGAGCUUUCGCUUGAAAGGAUGAGCUGUUUGCGCGGAGGACAAGCUCCAGACGGGAAGAAGGUGCGGCGUCCUCCAAGCGGCGGUGAUUCGGAAAUGAGAGGAGGACAACGGCGCCGCUCGCCGGUCCGCCGCGGCGGCAGCGGAUUGGAACAUAGAGGCGAGAUUCGAACAGUCUGGAAGCGGCGGUGUAGUUUUAAUCACGAUUUUUCCCUUUUUGUUUUUUUAAUAUAUACUCACUCAAAACGACAUUCUGAAAAUUCCGCGUGUGCAAUUUACAAUUAAAUUAAAAGAUGAUGUAUUUUGGAGCUAAUUUUAAAGGUGAUGUACAAUAUGGAAAUUCGGUGAUAGUUCGUGUAUUUUCCGGCUAUUAACCCUAUAAAUUAUACAAUAAAAUAUCCAAUUAUUAUUAUUAUUAUUAUUAUUAUUAUUAUUAUUAUUAUUAUUAUUAUUAUUAUUAUUAUUAUUAUUAUUAUUAUUAUUAUUAUUAUUAUUAUUAUUAUUAUUAUUAUUAUUAUUAUUAUUAUUAUUAUUAUUAUUAUUAUUAUUAUUAUUAUUAUUACAGAACUAUGGGAUGUUCGUCACUCCCAAUUGAUUUCUCUUUCUUGCGCACAGGAAGCCCCACGUCUAUCCCCUGCCUUCGUUUCCGGCAUUUCAUCAAACAAUAUUGGGUUCAAUUUUUUCUUCUCCCCAUUAAUGAAAAUAAGGGGAUGUCUUGCUUCUAACUAACAUGCUCUAACUAAUUACAAUAACAUAAACUGAUACAAUAACAAAAAAUGAUUUGCACUAUACUCUAAGGGUACGUUUACGUUGGAGGAUUAGCCAUGAUAGAUAAAAAUAGUAAGGUUAAUCAUUUGUUUAUUUUGAUGGAUUGAAACUUUGUGAUAUUCAAGGUCCGUGAUAAUUUAUACUCCCUCCGGCCCUGAAAUAAGUUCCUCUUUUUCCUUUUUGGGACGUCCCCCAAAUAAGUUUCUCUUUCUUUCUUUCCAUUUUUGGACAACUACCUCACUACUAAUAAUACUUUAUUUAUUCUUACUUUUCACUUUUUCACCACUCCCAAUACUAAUUAUAACACUUUUUCAUCUUUUCACCACUCUCAAUACUAAUUAUAACAUAUUUUUCUUCACUAUCAAUACACUUUACCAUUUUUCCUUAAAACCCGUGUCGUCCCCAAAGAGGAACUUAUUUUGGGGACGGAGGGAGUAUCAUUUAAGCUAGUUUGGAUUGAUUUCUAUCUCAUUUAAUCUAGUUUGGCUUGAUUUUUCCCCGACACAGUGAAGUUUUUGAAAUUGCUUCUUUUUGUAUGAAGAAGAAUUUACAACGUGACACCUUUGUUUCUAAGAUCACACGUUUUUGUAGGAUAAGGAAGGAUCUAGAGUGAUCGAGGGUGUAUCAACAGGACCACAUUUUGUAUUAUUGUAAAAAUUGAAUUCCUUUCGCAGAAUAGUAAUUUUAAUGAAUCGCUUACUAAAAUAGUCUUUUAGUAUUUUCAUAAAUAAUUUAAUGUAGAAGUUUGGGAAAGAGAUUAAUUAUAUAUAUAGAUCUCUUAGACUCACGUAGAACUAUAGAUCACUUAAAAUUGCACAAUGUUAAAUGCAAAAAAUGUAAUGUUGUGUGUAUUUGAGUAUGCUCUCACGCGAUCUUUAAAAUUAUUUGUUCAUUUAAAAAAAAAUUGAACACAAAUUAAGUACAUAUAUGAUUUCAAAUGCGCAUAAAUGCAUUAACUCAAACACAUCACAACAUUAUGUAUAUAUGUUGCAUUAUAAAAAAAAAUGCAUGAUUAUAUAUACAUGUAUAUUUAUAAUGCAUUACUAAAUACACAAAAAUGCAUCUAUACAAUGGUAAUACAUGUAAAUUGAGGAUCUACCCAAUCCUUAUCCUAUAAAUUUGUGAAUCAAAUUUCACGAAACCUAACCCCACAAUUAUUUGCGAAUUUCCUCGUCACAUGGUGAUGGUCCCAACUCCUCGUGGUCCCCUUUUGCAUAAUUAAAGGUCAAGAAAAUAUAAAAGAGUCCAAACUUUAUACGCUUCAUAAAUGGCACGUUUUUUAUUUUAGAAAUAAAGGGCUUUAAUUGGGAUAUUCUAUGUUGUAAACAAUUGAUUAACCUAAACCUUCUUUAUUUAUCUAAACAAAUCAUAAAUAGUAAAUACUCCCUAUACUUAUAUUUUUGCCACCAAUUAUUUAAAUUUUUCUCUAUGCCCAAAAUGGUAAGUAAACGGAAAUGGACGGAUCAGUAGAAAUUUUCCCCUUCUCUUUUUGAUAAAUUAUUGCACUUUUUACUCUAUUAAUGAAAGUAAGGGGUUGUCGGCAAAUGAUGUAUGUUCAAUAACUAAAUGAUAUUGUAUGGUUUCACAUAGUGUUAAGAGUUGUUUUAACUCUAAUAAUUAUACUAUAUUUUUUGAAUAAAUCCUUGUUUUAUCUUCUUCAUUAAUUAAUUUUAUAAGAGAAUUAAUAUCUCUAUAUUUUCGGUUUGCUUUCUGUUUGUAUCUCAGCAGUGUAUAUAUAGCUAGCUUUUCCUUUGAUGUAAAUCAGUUGAAUUCAUACAGAGAAAUGAAAUAUUACCUCCUUUCUCUCUCAUCACAACUACCCUAUCUUAUCUCAAUAAUUGUUCAUUGUCAUGAGUUUUUGAAUUAAAUUCUUUCUCGAUAUUUGUGCACGUAGGACCAUCAACUAAUAAUGAAGUAGGAGAAUUAAAUAUCAGCAGGACCACAUUUUCUAGAUCGUUUAUUGUCACAUGCUAUAAAACAGGAGCCAUACAUAUAUAAUCCGUAUGUACCACAUUUUCUAGAAAAUAAAUGCUCACUUUAAAUAUCAACUGGACCGCAUUUGCUCACUUGAUAUUUUCUUCACAUGCCAUAAAACAGGAGCCAUGCAUAAUUGGAGUAGGACCCAUGCUAUUUGUAAAAUGUACCAUAAAAUAUACUCCCUCCGUCCCAGCUGAAAUAUCAUGUUUUCCUUUUUGGGUUGUCCCACUUGAAAUGUCAUGUUUCCUUUUUUGGCAAUACACUCUCUCUCUCUAUACUUAAUAUUUAAAUAAUUUCCACCAACCCACUUUAUCUACUUUAUACACAUUUCUUAAUCUCCGUGCCGAAAAGAAACAAGACAUUUUAGCUGGGACGAAGGGAGUAAAUGAUUAGCUUCAGGGACGUUUGAGGGUAGGUGUCGAAAGCUUAUCUGAUACGACUCGAUAUGCAAACAAGUUGUUUGACAAAAUGCCUGAGCCAAAAUUGUAUGGUAAAGACUAAUGAGUGCUAGAAUCCCAUGUUCUCUAGGUUGGGAAAAAAAGGUUUAUCUCACCUUUUAUAAUUUGUAGAUGGGAAAAUAUUAACAUAUCAAUACCUUACAAAUUGUACUUUUAUUCCAUUUUUUAACUAAUAAUGUACUUUUAAUCUACUUUUUUGUACUAACACAACCCUUACAAAUUGUACAUUUAUCAAGAAUCUUUUGUAUGUUACAUAAGUAUGGAACAUGAAUUUGGAUUCAAAUAUUUGACCAAUCUUAUGAGAAAACAGACUUAAAGGGAAUUCUCUGAUUUAUUAUCUCUGAUACUAUUUUUUUUUUUAAGAAACUAUUAUAUUUUUAAAAGAGGAUCAAUAAUGACUUUUAAUAAUAUUCUUUCCAUAUGUUUUUACUUGCAAUUUCUAAAAAGAGAGAGAUAUUGUCAAAGGUGAUAUGGAAUUUAUAGAAGUGGUAUAUAUGUAAUAAAAUAUGAUGAUUAAAUAAUAUUUUCAUUCAUGCAUUAUACUAGUAUAAAUAGGAGAAGAGUUGACACCGACACACCAUCACUCACAACUCGAUCAAUUAAGCCAUGGCCAACCUUCCCCAAACCCUACUCUCCAUAGCCCUUCUCCUUGCCGCCGCUGCCAACACGGCGUGGUCCCAAACAACGUCCUUCACCUACGACUUCUGGGGCGACCAGCCGACCGAUCUCAUCUAUCAAGGCUCCGCCCAUUUCCCGUCCGACUCCACCUUCCUCCGCCUCACCGACUUCGAAACAUACCAGGUCGGCCGGGUCUUGUACUCGAAGCCGGUCCAGUUCUCCCAAGCCGGUGGCCAAGUCGACUUUGAAACCACCAUUAACUUCAUCAUCACACCCACUCCCGAGGACAAAACCGCUGACGGCCUCGCCUUCUUCAUGGGCCCAGUCGGCACCACCAUCCCCAGUGGCGCUGUUGGGGCCAACCUCGGAAUUUUCGGCUCCAACGGCAACAGCCCCUCGGUCUUCGCCGUCGAGUUCGACACCUUCAUCAACAGCCCGUGGGAUCCGAACUAUCCCCACAUCGGCAUCGACCUCGGAUCUAGGGAAUCCAGCAACACGACGAAUGUCGGAACCGCCAUAGUCGGACAGCAGGUGACUGCGCGGAUCAACUACGUCGGAGCCACGAAUAUGAUCACCGUCAGUGCCACCGCCGGCUCGAAGACGUUUGAGGUCAGUCUUAAGUACGAUUUGAGCCACUUUCUUCCUCAGCAAGUUCAGGUAGGGCUCUCCGCCGCCAGCGGACUAAACCAACCAUACGUCGCCAAACAUGAUAUUAUAUCAUGGUAUUUCACGGCCACCAUGGUGCAGACAAAUGCUGGCGCGUGGAGCAAGAAGGAGCUGGCCGGCAACAUUAUUCGUCAAUUUGUGUGAUUUUGAGAUGUGUGUGUGUCGUAAAUAAAUAAGGACUAAGCGAUCGAGUCUGCUCUCGUUAAGUCUAGAAAUAAGAUACUCGACCAUCUCUAUGUACGGACUAUGCAACAAUGCUUUUGGGUGUCGUUCUCGUUUUAUGAUCUUUGCAAGGUUAUCUAUGGAAGAUUUAUUAAGGACUUUUAUCGACCAGUUGGAAUACUGUAUAUGAAGCAAGUUAAUUCUUGUUAAUCCAACAAUAGUGAAUCCUACGCAACAAAGUAAUUCUCACACAGCCUGUGCCUUCAUCGUGAUUUAUUAGGAUCUCAAAAGGAUCGAUGUGCGACUAUUAGCACUAAUUGAAUGUGACUUCAAAGUAAAUAAUCAUCUAUAUAACUCAUUGUUGGUGGCAGACAAAACCCAUUAAGUGGGAGACAUCACUUUUCUGCUUUUACUUUUUGCUUUUCCUUUGUUGACUUCUUUGUCGUAGUUGUUAGGGGGUGUGUGGUCGAUUAUUCAUUCCUUGAGAAAAUUGAGACGAGAAAAAAGAGAGCAGAGAGAGCUGUGAGAGAAAAACUCUUGCAGAGAGAUUGGGGCGUGAUAUACACGAGAGAUUGUGAGGGUUUUUCCAGCGUGGGUUUGAGAGUGUACGAGAGUGAGAGGUUGAUCUCAUCUUGGGUGUAAUUCUCGAUUCAUUGUGUGACGAGUUCGCGGGUUGUGCGAAUCGUCGGAGUUCUUCAAUACUACGAUUGGUGUUGCUCCCAUGGAC